rnacentral:rRNA from 1 species
GACGUAGGGCGCGAGCGUUGUCCGGAUUUAUUGGGCGUAAAGAGCUCGUAGGCGGCUUGUCGCGUCGACUGUGAAAUCCCGCGGCUCAACUGCGGGUCUGCAGUCGAUACGGGCAGGCGUAGAGUUCGGUAGGGGAGACUGGAAUUCCUGGUGUAGCGGUGAAAUGCGCAGAUAUCAGGAGGAACACCGAUGGCGAAGGCAGGUCUCUGGGCCGAUACUGACGCUGAGAAGCGAAAGCAUGGGGGAGCGAACAGG